UCCUUCUUUUUCAAUCGUUAAUCGGAAUUACUGGGCGUAAAGCGCACGUAGGCUGUAGUGUAAGUCAGGGGUGAAAUCCCACGGCUCAACCGUGGAACUGCCUUUGAUACUGCACAACUUGAAUCCGGGAGAGGGUGGCGGAAUUCCAGGUGUAGGAGUGAAAUCCGUAGAUAUCUGGAGGAACAUCAGUGGCGAAGGCGGCCACCUGGACCGGUAUUGACGCUGAGGUGCGAAAGCGUGGGGAGCAAAC
rnacentral:rRNA from 1 species